rnacentral:rRNA from 1 species
AUUGAACGCUGGCGGCAUGCCUUACACAUGCAAGUCGAACGGUAACGCGGGGCAACCUGGCGACGAGUGGCGAACGGGUGAGUAAUGCAUCGGAACGUGCCCAGAAGUGGGGGAUAGCCCGGCGAAAGCCGGAUUAAUACCGCAUGAGACCUGAGGUGAAAGCGGGGGGUCGCCAGACCUCGCGCUUUUUGGGCGGGCGAUGUCAGAUUAGCUAGUUGGUGGGGUAAAGGCCUACCAAGGCGACGAUCUGUAGCUGGUCUGAGAGGACGACCAGCCACACUGGGACUGAGACACGGCCCAGACUCCUACGGGAGGCAGCAGUGGGGAAUUUUGGACAAUGGGCGCAAGCCUGAUCCAGCCAUGCCGCGUGCGGGAAGAAGGCCUUCGGGUUGUAAACCGCUUUUGUCAGGGAAGAAACGCUCUGGGCUAAUACCCUGGGGUAAUGACGGUACCUGAAGAAUAAGCACCGGCUAACUACGUG